CCCAUCCAUCCAUCCACCCACCCAUCCAUCCGUCCACCCAUCCAUCCAUCCGUCCACCCAUCCAUCCAUCCACCCACCCAUCCAUCCAUCCACCCAUCCGUCCAUCCGUCCACCCAUCCGUCCAUCCGUCCACCCACCCGUCCAUCCGUCCACCCAUCCGUCCAUCCAUCCACCCAUCUGUCCAUCCAUCCGUCCGUCCAUCCAUCCAACCAUCCAUCCACCCAUCUGUCCAUCCGUCCGUCCGUCCAUCCAUCCAACCAUCCACCCACCCAUCCAUCCGUCCACCCAUCCAACCAUCCGUCCACCCGUCCAACCAUCCGUCCACCCGUCCAUCCAUCCACCCACCCGUCCAUCCAUCCACCCACCCGUCCAUCCAUCCACCCACCCGUCCAUCCGUCCACCCACCCGUCCAUCCAUCCAUCCACCCAUCCAACCAUCCGUCCACCCAUACAUCCAUCCAUCCACCCAUCUGUCCAUCCAUCCGUCUGUCCAUCCAUCCAACCAUCCAUCCACCCAUCUGUCCAUCCGUCCACCCAUCCAUCCAUCCAUCCAUCCGACCAUCCAUCCAC
rnacentral:lncRNA from 1 species